UUUCCGUAGGUGAACCUGCGGAAGGAUCAUUAGAGAUUGGCCUAACGGCCGUGUCUAUUCCACACACACCGUGAACCGUUUUGGAGCCCUCCAGGGGGUUCCAGACAAAACAUACCAAAAACAAUGUGUAAUGAAUGUAACAUAAUCGUAACAAAACAAAACUUUCAACAACGGAUCUCUUGGCUCUCGCAUCGAUGAAGAACGCAGC
rnacentral:misc_RNA from 1 species